GUAGGUGGCAAGCGUUGUCCGGAAUUAUUGGGCGUAAAGCGCGCGCAGGCGGUUUUUUAAGUCUGAUGUGAAAGCCCACGGCUCAACCGUGGAGGGUCAUUGGAAACUGGAGAACUUGAGUGCAGAAGAGGAGAGCGGAAUUCCACGUGUAGCGGUGAAAUGCGUAGAGAUGUGGAGGAACACCAGUGGCGAAGGCGGCUCUCUGGUCUGUAACUGACGCUGAGGCGCGAAAGCGUGGGGGAGCAAACAGGAUUAGAUACCCUGGUAGUCCACGCCGUAAACGAUGAGUGCUAAGUGUUAGAGGGUUUCCGCCCCCUUUAGUGCUGCAGCAAACGCAUUAAGCACUCCGCCUGGGGAGUACGGUCGCAAGACUG
rnacentral:rRNA from 1 species